rnacentral:rRNA from 1 species
GACGAACCGUGCGAACGUUAUUCGGAAUCACUGGGCUUGAAGCGCGUGUAGGCGGGACAGCACGUCGGUCGCUGAAAUCCCCCGGCUUAACCGGGGAACGGGCGUCGAUACGACUGUCCUGGAGGGGCGUAGGGGGACCUGGAACUUCCGGUGGAGCGGUGAAAUGCGUUGAGAUCGGAAGGAACGCCCGUGGCGAAAGCGAGGUCCUGGACGCCUACUGACGCUGAGAGACGAAAGCUAGGGGAGCGAAUGGG